GGGGGCUGUGGUAUUAUCGCUGCUAACGAUGGUUUGAACUCUUCAGGGGUUCGGCCCUCU
rnacentral:tRNA from 1 species